AUGAACAAGGAAGCACCGGAGAUAGAAUGUUGCAUGAGGAAGAACAAUAACGGGAAGGCUUGGACAUGUGAAGCUGAUUUUGGGAAAGACAAGCUGAGUGAUGACCGGAUCCCUGAGGUUUGGUCAUCAAUACCAGGAAGACGAUUUGAUGAACAAGGAAGCACUGGAGGUAGAAUGUUGCAUGAAGAAGAACAAUAACGGGAAGGCUUGGACAUGUGAAGCUGAUUUUGGGAAAGACAAGCUGAGUGAUGACCGUGAGUAGCUUAGAUCUCACAUUUACAAAAUUCUUAAAAUAUUCUAUUCCCUUCACAGUUGUGGAGCUUGGGAUAGAC
rnacentral:lncRNA from 1 species